ACUUUCAUAUUUAAUACCCUCUCACUCGUACAGAGAAAAUGAUUGAAAGAAGUUUAAGAGUUUUGCUUUUAUUACAAUUUCUUUACUUUGCCACAGGCGACAGCGUGCGGCACUUACAAUGACACGCUGACACAGACAGGGUGGGGGGUCCUGGACAUUGUGGGUGGACAGGGAGAUGAUGCUGACCUAGAUAUUAUGUAUGGUGCAGGCUAUCUGGAAGGAGUUUUCACUGCAGAGAGAAUUUGGCAACAUUACCAAAAUGUCCAGGAUUUUUUCUUUAGAAAAAGGGAUGCAGAUAAAUUGAAGAAACUUAAGAUUUGGUUUGAUCAACAGAACUCUUGGAUGAGAAAUAUGAUCAUAAAAAAUAAAAGUGAUCCAAUGUGGCGACAUGUGGGACUUAUCAUGGCCCAGUUUGAUGGUCUUGUAGCGGGCUAUAAGUCUGUAGCAAAAAUGGAUCUGGAUGUAUUUGCUUUCCAAGUCCUGAAUGGUGCAGGAGACCUGCUUGACUUGCUCAGCGUGAUUGACCCAGCCUCGAGUGCAGACUGGACUCAAAUGACUCGCAGCCAAGUACUGUCGUAUGUACAGGACAGGGGCAUGUGCUCAGCGCUCAUCAAGGUGCUUGGUGCUUAUGAAGAUGUUUUAUGUCCCAUUCAAGCUGGUUUGUGUAUCAAGCCACUAUGAGAAUAUACAAGCAUUACAACUUUAAUGUCAGUGAUCCUGCAACCUCAUCUAAACGAACCUCAUUCUCAAGCUAUCCGGGAUUUUUGGAGUCCUUGGAUGAUUUUUAUCAGAUGAGCAGUAACAUGGUUAUGCUGCAGACUACAAACAACGUCUUCAACAAAAAGCUGUACAACUUUGUCAAGCCGCAGUCGCUGUUUGCCUGGCAGCGUGUUCGUGUGGCCAACAUGAUGGCUAACGGAGGAGAGGAAUGGUCCAAGAUCAUGACUAGAUAUAACUCAGGUACCUAUAACAACCAGUAUAUGGUUAUUGAUCUGAAGAAAAUUCAUCUGAAAUCAGCCAUUGAGGAUGGUGCAUUAUGGGUAGUUGAACAGAUUCCUUCCCUUGUAGAGGCUGGUGAUAUGACUCCCAUUCUAAGAACAGGCUACUGGCCUUCAUAUAAUGUCCCUUACUUUGAAAAAGUCUACAACAUGAGUGGUUACCCUGAGGUAGUAGCCAAGAUGGGGACAGAUUUCUCCUACCAACUCGCACCGAGGGCCAAGAUUUUUCGACGUGACGAGGGCAAAGUAGUGGAUCUUGACACCAUGAAGCACAUCAUGAGAUAUAAUGAUUUCAAGAACGAUCCAUAUUCUGAGGGAAAUUCCUGUAACACCAUCUGUUGCCGUGGAGAUCUAAGAGAUGCCGACCCCAAACCAAGUGGUUGCUAUGACACCAAGGUCUCUGAUUACAAAAUGGCAUUAAACUUUGAAGCGGACAUUAUUAAUGGCCCAACUCGUGGAACAGGAUUACCUCCCUUCUCUUGGACAUCCGAAUUCAACCAAACCCACAUGGGCUUACCGACAACUUAUAAUUUCGACUUUUUGAGAACAUCUCCUAAAUUCAAAACACCUUGAAAGGGACAGCAAGCCGCAAAGAGAAAUUUUAAGCAUUCCGCAUGAAUAUAUCAAAUUAAUUCCGCAAUGAUGAUUUUAAACAAGCACGUUUUGUUAAUCCUUUUAAGGAAAUCAAUCGUCUUCAGUGUGGCCUUCAAUCAUUGGUGCAUGUUUUGAAAUCAGUAUAGUUAAUUGAUGCCCUUGUAAACUGCUUUGUUUAUAUGCUGUUGAUAUCAAUAACGGACAUGUACUCAUACGGUUUACUUGUACAUACAGUGUAUGUUGAUUCCAAUAAUUGUUCUUUGUGAACUACCGGUAUUGCCACUUACCUCAGAACUGAAGUGACACGAAUCAGAAUAUCAGAUGAUUAUAACCACUCACCAAACUCAAAACUGUACAUAAUUCUUUUAACAAAUGAAAUAAUUCAACUCGUUCUAAUAGUGAAAUGAUAUGUGGUUUCUUUAAGUCAAUUGAAAUGACUUCUUAAUUAUAAGUACAUGUAUUUGCUCUUGCACAAAACAAACCUGUAUCUUUUGUAAAAAAAUACCCUAAUAUACGGUAAAGAUGCCUUUAUAACAUACUUUACAAUACCCACCGAUAUUGCAAAACAGAGGCAUUUUUCCUGAAGUGCGUGAGAGAGAAAAAUUGAGCAAAUGGUUGACAAUUAUAACUUUUCUAUUUGUCUGUGAUAUAUUUUUUGGAAAUUAAAGCCUA
rnacentral:misc_RNA from 1 species